rnacentral:rRNA from 1 species
AUUGAACGCUGGCGGCAUGCCUUACACAUGCAAGUCGAACGGCAGCACGGGUGCUUGCACCUGGUGGCGAGUGGCGAACGGGUGAGUAAUACAUCGGAACAUGUCCUGUAGUGGGGGAUAGCCCGGCGAAAGCCGGAUUAAUACCGCAUACGAUCUACGGAUGAAAGCGGGGGACCUUCGGGCCUCGCGCUAUAGGGUUGGCCGAUGGCUGAUUAGCUAGUUGGUGGGGUAAAGGCCUGCCAAGGCGACGAUCAGUAGCUGGUCUGAGAGGACGACCAGCCACACUGGGACUGAGACACGGCCCAGACUCCUACGGGAGGCAGCAGUGGGGAAUUUUGGACAAUGGGCGAAAGCCUGAUCCAGCAAUGCCGCGUGUGUGAAGAAGGCCUUCGGGUUGUAAAGCACUUUUGUCCGGAAAGAAAUCCUUGGCCCUAAUACGGUCGGGGGAUGACGGUACCGGAAGAAUAAGCACCGGCUAACUACGUG